rnacentral:rRNA from 1 species
GAUGAACGCUGGCGGCGUGCUUAACACAUGCAAGUCGAACGGAAAGGCCGAAGCUUGCUUCGGUACUCGAGUGGCGAACGGGUGAGUAACACGUGGGUGAUCUGCCCUGUACUUCGGGAUAAGCUUGGGAAACUGGGUCUAAUACCGGAUAUGACGAUCUCUUGGAUGGGGUUGUGGAAAGCUUUUGCGGUAUGGGAUGAGCUCGCGGCCUAUCAGCUUGUUGGUGGGGUAAUGGCCUACCAAGGCGUCGACGGGUAGCCGGCCUGAGAGGGUGUACGGCCAAAUUGGGACUGGGAUACGGCCCAGACUCCUACGGGGGGCAGCAGGGGGGAAUUUUGAAAAAGGGGCGAAAGCCUGAGCCAGGGCCGCCGGGGGGGGGUUGACGGCCUUCGGGUUGUAAAUCCCUUUCGCAACCGCCGAAGCCUUUUGGUGACGGUAGGUUGAGAAGAAGCACCGGCUAACUACGU